GGAGGAUUACCCAAGUGGUUGAAGGGUCCGGUCUUGAAAACCGGCAGGUCGUGAGAGCGGCGCCAGGGUUCGAAUCCCUGAUCCUCCG
rnacentral:tRNA from 1 species